AAUGAACGCUGGCGGCAUGCCUAAUACAUGCAAGUCGAGCGAAAGGACGAUAAGAUUUCCCCUCUGAUGUUAGCGACGGGCGGGCGGGUAACGAGUACAUCACCUUCCUAUUUGUCGGGGAUGAUUUCGGGAAACAGCUGAUGCUAAUAGCUAAUAUUUUGAACCGGAUGGAUCAAAGGAGAUUGACGGCUUUCGCGUUACUUUUAGAUGGUUCCGGGUUGGAUUAGCUAGUUGGUAAGGUAACGGCUCACCAAGGCGACGAUGCGUAGCUGAUCUGAGAGGAUGAUCAGCCACACUGGAACUGAGACACGGUCCAGACUCCUACGGGAGGCAGCAGUAGGGAAUCUUCCGCAAUGGGCGCAAGCCUGAUGCAGCCAUACCGCGUGAGUGAAGAAGGUCUUCGGGUUGUAAAACUCUGUUAUUAGGGAAGAAAAGCUGUAUGAUUAUCUCUCGACGUUCUGACGGUACCCAAACAGAAAGCCCCGGCUAACUUCGUG
rnacentral:rRNA from 1 species